UUAAGCGACUAAGCGUACACGGUGGAUGCCCUGGCAGUCAGAGGCGAUGAAGGACGUGCUAAUCUGCGAUAAGCGUCGGUAAGGUGAUAUGAACCGUUAUAACCGGCGAUUUCCGAAUGGGGAAACCCAGUGUGUUUCGACACACUAUCAUUAACUGAAUCCAUAGGUUAAUGAGGCGAACCGGGGGAACUGAAACAUCUAAGUACCCCGAGGAAAAGAAAUCAACCGAGAUUCCCCCAGUAGCGGCGAGCGAACGGGGAGCAGCCCAGAGCCUGAAUCAGUGUGUGUGUUAGUGGAAGCGUCUGGAAAGGCGCGCGAUACAGGGUGACAGCCCCGUACACAAAAAUGCACAUGCUGUGAGCUCGAUGAGUAGGGCGGGACACGUGGUAUCCUGUCUGAAUAUGGGGGGACCAUCCUCCAAGGCUAAAUACUCCUGACUGACCGAUAGUGAACCAGUACCGUGAGGGAAAGGCGAAAAGAACCCCGGCGAGGGGAGUGAAAAAGAACCUGAAACCGUGUACGUACAAGCAGUGGGAGCACGCUUAGGCGUGUGACUGCGUACCUUUUGUAUAAUGGGUCAGCGACUUAUAUUCUGUAGCAAGGUUAACCGAAUAGGGGAGCCGAAGGGAAACCGAGUCUUAACUGGGCGUUAAGUUGCAGGGUAUAGACCCGAAACCCGGUGAUCUAGCCAUGGGCAGGUUGAAGGUUGGGUAACACUAACUGGAGGACCGAACCGACUAAUGUUGAAAAAUUAGCGGAUGACUUGUGGCUGGGGGUGAAAGGCCAAUCAAACCGGGAGAUAGCUGGUUCUCCCCGAAAGCUAUUUAGGUAGCGCCUCGUGAAUUCAUCUCCGGGGGUAGAGCACUGUUUCGGCAAGGGGGUCAUCCCGACUUACCAACCCGAUGCAAACUGCGAAUACCGGAGAAUGUUAUCACGGGAGACACACGGCGGGUGCUAACGUCCGUCGUGAAGAGGGAAACAACCCAGACCGCCAGCUAAGGUCCCAAAGUCAUGGUUAAGUGGGAAACGAUGUGGGAAGGCCCAGACAGCCAGGAUGUUGGCUUAGAAGCAGCCAUCAUUUAAAGAAAGCGUAAUAGCUCACUGGUCGAGUCGGCCUGCGCGGAAGAUGUAACGGGGCUAAACCAUGCACCGAAGCUGCGGCAGCGACGCUUAUGCGUUGUUGGGUAGGGGAGCGUUCUGUAAGCCUGCGAAGGUGUGCUGUGAGGCAUGCUGGAGGUAUCAGAAGUGCGAAUGCUGACAUAAGUAACGAUAAAGCGGGUGAAAAGCCCGCUCGCCGGAAGACCAAGGGUUCCUGUCCAACGUUAAUCGGGGCAGGGUGAGUCGACCCCUAAGGCGAGGCCGAAAGGCGUAGUCGAUGGGAAACAGGUUAAUAUUCCUGUACUUGGUGUUACUGCGAAGGGGGGACGGAGAAGGCUAUGUUGGCCGGGCGACGGUUGUCCCGGUUUAAGCGUGUAGGCUGGUUUUCCAGGCAAAUCCGGAAAAUCAAGGCUGAGGCGUGAUGACGAGGCACUACGGUGCUGAAGCAACAAAUGCCCUGCUUCCAGGAAAAGCCUCUAAGCAUCAGGUAACAUCAAAUCGUACCCCAAACCGACACAGGUGGUCAGGUAGAGAAUACCAAGGCGCUUGAGAGAACUCGGGUGAAGGAACUAGGCAAAAUGGUGCCGUAACUUCGGGAGAAGGCACGCUGAUAUGUAGGUGAGGUCCCUCGCGGAUGGAGCUGAAAUCAGUCGAAGAUACCAGCUGGCUGCAACUGUUUAUUAAAAACACAGCACUGUGCAAACACGAAAGUGGACGUAUACGGUGUGACGCCUGCCCGGUGCCGGAAGGUUAAUUGAUGGGGUUAGCGCAAGCGAAGCUCUUGAUCGAAGCCCCGGUAAACGGCGGCCGUAACUAUAACGGUCCUAAGGUAGCGAAAUUCCUUGUCGGGUAAGUUCCGACCUGCACGAAUGG
rnacentral:rRNA from 1 species